AACGAACGCUGGCGGCAUGCCUAACACAUGCAAGUCGAACGAGACCUUCGGGUCUAGUGGCGCACGGGUGCGUAACGCGUGGGAACCUGCCCUUAGGUUCGGAAUAACUCCCCGAAAGGGGUGCUAAUACCGGAUAAUGUCUUCGGACCAAAGAUUUAUCGCCUUUGGAUGGGCCCGCGUUGGAUUAGCUAGUUGGUAGGGUAAAAGCCUACCAAGGCGACGAUCCAUAGCUGGUCUGAGAGGAUGAUCAGCCACACUGGGACUGAGACACGGCCCAGACUCCUACGGGAGGCAGCAGUGGGGAAUAUUGGAGAAUGGGCGAAAGCCUGAUCCAGCAAUGCCGCGUGAGUGAUGAAGGCCUUAGGGUUGUAAAGCUCUUUUACCCGGGAUGAUAAUGACAGUACCGGGAGAAUAAGCUUCGGCUAACUCCGUG
rnacentral:rRNA from 1 species